rnacentral:tRNA from 1 species
UCCCGCUUAGCUCAGUGGUAGAGCGCCUCACUAGUAAUGAGGAGGUCAGUCGUUCAAGUCGGCUAGUGGGAA